CUCUCACACAGUUUCUACAUUUACUAAGUACAUUUUAUAUAUUAACGAACGAUCCUUUCGUGUUCGAUCAUUUCUACGUAUUAUGAAGAAAAUUCGGCGAAUUUCGAAGAAAUUAAGAAGACACCGAAAAACGAUGCGCUUUCUGAAUAGGUAUCGAGAUUGGAAGGUUCGAUGAGGCACCGAGUUCUCUCUCUUCGCACGCACGAAAUCCACGCAAAACGAGAGAAAGAGAGAGAGAGAGCUCGGUGGCAAAGCUGAAGCUUGUUCAUCGUAUCGUUCGAAGACUUCGCUCGAACCAUCGUGUACUUACGCGGAACAUUUCCAGUAGCAACAAAGUUCAAAUCCAUGAGGAUCCGUUAGACGGUCAGCAUCCAUGUAUUAUAGGCGUUAUCCACCUGCCAGUCCCAGAGCAGUAACGCUACGCCUUCGAUAUCUAGGAUCUACAACCCUCUCUGGGAAGAACGAACGUUCUCCAAUUUCUGGGUCCGGCCCCUAGAGAAAAGGGCCCCCUAUAAAACGAAGUUUAUGCAUUCGACUCGACUACGACUCGCCUACGUCUCCGAUAGGAGGUUGCACAAAGCCUCUUAAAUCUUAAACCACAUCAGUCUACCAUCUACCAUCUUCGCCGACUACGAUCUUCUUUCUGUACCUGAAGAUCUCUCGAAACGAUGUGACUUCUCUUCUGAAACGUAUUACGAAAGAUUCUUUUCUUCGAAAUAAAACCGAGCGAGGAUUCGAAAGGAUGGAUAAAAGGAAAAAGAAAAAAAGAAGAAAAUGAUUGAAAAGAAACCGACGAGUAUCGGUAUCGAGAACGAAUAUAAAAUAAUCAUAGAAUUAACAAGUAAACUCUGAUUAGAUUUUAAUAAUGAUAAAAGAUAACUACGAUUAGGGUGCUUUAGAAAAAAAAACUUUUAGAUAAACACUUAUAUCAGACUAAUUGUUUUGUUGAAAUUUUGCUCCAUCGGCAAUUCAUAGAUAUUCGAGAUAACUUCAUCCAACAGAUUCGUAGGAAUUCGAUGAAAAAAAAAAAAGGGAAAGAGUUGUGAGAUAGCUCGUAGCCGAUAAAGUGUCGGAUCGUUUUCCGGUCGUUGGAGGGCUCUUCCGUCGCUUCGAAAUCGUCGAUCGUCUGCCAAGCGCGGCUGUUAACCGGACUUUUACGAUCUUAGCCGUUGAGUGGAGAGAAAGCGAGCACAAGAUAGAAAGAGAGAGAGACAGACAGAGAGAAAGAGAGACAGAGAGAGAAAGAGAAAGAAAGAGAGAGAGAGAGAGAGAGAGAGAACUGAUGGAAGAGAAGAGAAGAAGAGUAAGAGAAGGAAUCGUACGUAAGGGGACAUUUCCGUAGCACGUUGUUUGUAUGCCAUUCGUGAUAGCGACUCGUAUACGGUAACGACCCUUUCGUGUUUCCGGUAUGCGCCAUCUUUCCUCCUUUCGCCUAUCCUUCCUCUAUCCUUCGAUGCGUUCGAUGUUUCUUUCGAUCCUUCGAACAUAAUAACGAGUUGGAAGGUAGAAAAUAGGAAGUAUAGAUAUGUAUAUAUGUAAAUAUAACGAGCUAUCUCUCUUGCACGAAAAACAUUGACGCAGUAGUAUCAUCGACGUUGUUCUCCUGGAAGAUAUAUUUUUCUAACGAACGAAACGAUGUGGUAGUGUUAACCUCGGAGAAACCGAGAUAAGUUUUUUGAAGGCCGGUUUUGGGUGC